CUGGGUCUGGCCGAGCGGUUAGGCGCCGGCUUUGGGAGCCGGAUGACGGGGGUUCGAUCCCCUCGGCCCAGACCA
rnacentral:tRNA from 1 species